rnacentral:rRNA from 1 species
UACGUAGGGUCCGAGCGUUGUCCGGAAUUACUGGGCGUAAAGAGCUCGUAGGUGGUUUGUCGCGUUGUCCGUGAAAACUCACAGCUUAACUGUGGGCGUGCGGGCGAUACGGGCAGACUGGAGUACUGCAGGGGAGACUGGAAUUCCUGGUGUAGCGGUGGAAUGCGCAGAUAUCAGGAGGAACACCGGUGGCGAAGGCGGGUCUCUGGGCAGUAACUGACGCUGAGGAGCGAAAGCAUGGGGAGCGAACAGG